rnacentral:rRNA from 1 species
AGCGAACGCUGGCGGCAGGCCUAACACAUGCAAGUCGAACGAACCUUUCGGGGUUAGUGGCGGACGGGUGAGUAACACGUGGGAACGUGCCUUUAGGUUCGGAAUAACUCAGGGAAACUUGUGCUAAUACCGAAUGUGCCCUUCGGGGGAAAGAUUAAUCGCCUUUAGAGCGGCCCGCGUCUGAUUAGCUAGUUGGUUGAGGUAAUGGCUCACCAAGGCGACGAUCAGUAGCUGGUCUGAGAGGAUGAUCAGCCACAUUGGGACUGAGACACGGCACAAACUCCUACGGGAGGCAGCAGUGGGGAAUCUUGCGCAAUGGGCGAAAGCCUGACGCAGCCAUGCCGCGUGAAUGAUGAAGGUCUUAGGAUUGUAAAAUUCUUUCACCGGGGACGAUAAUGACGGUACCCGGAGAAGAAGCCCCGGCUAACUUCGUG